UACGUAGGGUCCGAGCGUUGUCCGGAAUUACUGGAGCGUAAAGAGCUCGUAGGUGGUUUGUCGCGUUGUUCGUGAAAACUCACAGCUUAACUGUGGGCGUGCGGGCGAUACGGGCAGACUUGAGUACUGCAGGGGAGACUGGAAUUCCUGGUGUAGCGGUGAAAUGCGCAGAUAUCAGGAGGAACACCGGUGGCGAAGGCGGGUCUCUGGGCCGAUACUGACGCUGAGGAGCGAAAGCGUGGGGAGCGAACAGG
rnacentral:rRNA from 1 species